UUUUCCUACGGGGCGCAGCAGUGAGGGAUAUUGGUCAAUGGGGGAAACCCUGAACCAGCAACGCCGCGUGAGGGAAGACGGUUUUCGGAUUGUAAACCUCUGUCCUCUGUGAAGAUAAUGACGGUAGCAGAGGAGGAAGCUCCGGCUAACUACGUGCCAGCAGCCGCGGUAAUACGUAGGGGGCAAGCGUUAUCCGGAUUUACUGGGUGUAAAGGGAGCGUAGACGGCAUUGCAAGUCCGGAGUGAAAGCCCACGGCCCAACCGUGGGACUGCUCUGGAAACUGUAGAGCUGGAGUGCGGGAGGG
rnacentral:rRNA from 1 species